CAGUAGCCGCGGUAAUACGAGGGGGGCAAGCGUUGUUCGGAAUUAUUGGGCGUAAAGGGUGCGUAGGCGGUUUGAUAAGUCUUGUGUGAAAUCUCUGGGCUCAACCCAGAGUCUGCAUGGGAAACUGUCGGGCUUGAGUAUGGGAGAGGUAAGUGGAAUUUCCGGUGUGGCGGUGAAAUGCGUAGAUAUCGGAAGGAACACCUGUGGCGAAAGCGGCUCACUGGACCAUAACUGACGCUGAGGCACGAAAGCUAGGGGAGCAAACAGGAUUAGAUACCCGUGUAGUCCCUGUCUCUUAUAC
rnacentral:rRNA from 1 species